rnacentral:rRNA from 1 species
CAAUAGCGUAUAUUAAAGUUGUUGCAGUUAAAAAGCUCGUAGUUGGAUUUCUGAUCGAGACAUCAGGUCGGGUCCGAGAGGAUCAUGUACUUUGAUUUUGUUUUGAUCAUCCUUGGGGCGAGCAUUUCUGGCAUUCAGUUGUCGGGAUUGGGAUCCUCAUCGUUUACUGUGAAAAAAUUAGAGUGUUCAAAGCAGGCCUCGGCCUCUGAAUACAUUAGCAUGGAAUAAUAAGAUAGGACUUUGGUGGUCUAUUUUGUUGGUUUGCACGCCAAAGUAAUGAUUAAUAGGGAUAGUUGGGGGUAUUCGUAUUCAAUUGUCAGAGGUGAAAUUCUUGGAUUUAUGGAAGACGAACUACUGCGAAAGCAUUUACCAAGGAUGUUUUCAUUAA